rnacentral:rRNA from 1 species
UACAGAGGGUGCGAGCGUUAAUCGGAAUUACUGGGCGUAAAGCGUGCGUAGGCGGUUCGUUAAGUCAGUUGUGAAAGCCCCGGGCUCAACCUGGGAAUUGCGGUUGAAACUGGCGAACUAGAAUCUGGCAGAGGGGGGUGGAAUUCCACGUGUAGCAGUGAAAUGCGUAGAGAUGUGGAGGAACACCGAUGGCGAAGGCAGCCCCCUGGGCUGAGAUUGACGCUCAGGCACGAAAGCGUGGGGAGCAAACAGG